rnacentral:rRNA from 1 species
UACAGAGGUCUCAAGCGUUGUUCGGAUUCAUUGGGCGUAAAGGGUGUGUAGGUGGCGCGCUAAGUCGGGUGUGAAAUCUCGGAGCUUAACUUCGAAACUGCAUUCGAUACUGGCGUGCUUGAGGACUGGAGAGGAGACUGGAAUUCAUGGUGUAGCAGUGAAAUGCGUAGAGAUCAUGAGGAAGACCAGUGGCGAAGGCGGGUCUCUGGACAGUUCCUGACACUGAGACACGAAGGCCAGGGGAGCAAACGGG